UACAGUCGAGCGGUACGGAAGCGCUUGCUUCUUCGCUCACGAGUGGGGGACGGGUGAGUAAUGUGUGGGAAACUGUGUGAUGGAGGGGGAUAUCUACUGGAAACGGGAGCUAAUACCGCAUAACGUCCCAAGACCAAAGAGGGGGACCUUCGGGCCUCUUGCCCUCUUGUGUGCCCAGAUGGGAUUAUCUUGUGGGGGGGGUAACGUCUCACCAAGGCGACAAUCUCUCUCUGGUGUGAGAGGAUGACCACCCACACUGGAACUGAGACACGCUCCACACUCCUACGGGGGGGAGCAGUGGGGAAUAUUGCACAAUGGGCGCAAGCCUGAUGCACCCAUGCCGCGUGUGUGAAAAAAGCCUUCGGGUUGUAAAGUACUUUCAGCGGGGAGGAGGGGAGUAAAGAUAAUACCUUUGCUCAUUGACGUUACCCGCAGAAAAGCACCGGCUAUCUCUGUGCCAGCAGCCGCGGUAAUACAGAGGGUGCGAGCGUUUAUCGGAUUUACUGGGCGUAUAGCGCACGCGCGCGGUUUGUUAAGUCAUAUGUGAAUCGCGGGCUCUCCUGGGACUGCAUCUGAUACUGGGACGCUUGAGUCUCGUAGAGAGGGGUAGAUUUUCGUGUAGCGCUGAAUGUGUAGAGAUCUGGAGAUAUAGGUGGCGAGAGCGGCCCUCUGUACAAAGUGACACUCACGUGCGAAGCGUGGGAGCAACAGAUAUAUAUCGUGGUAGUACCGCGUAACAAUGUCUACAUGAGAUGUGUCUCUGAGACGUGUCUUCAGAGAUCACGCGAUAUGUCAGCGCGUGUAGAGUGCAGCGCGCGUUAAUCUCUCUGAGUGACAGGCGCUAACAGCGUAGACAUGUGUAUUAUCGAUGCACGCGCAGAAUCUUCCUGGUCUCGAGAUAUAUCAGCUCCGGAAGGGUAGUGUACUUUGGGCUACGUCGACCAGAUGCUGCUGAUAGUCGUUCGAUCAAUCGUCGUGUGCGAGAUGU
rnacentral:rRNA from 1 species